GAUCAUGGCUCAGGAUGAACGCUAGCUACAGGCUUAACACAUGCAAGUCGAGGGGAAACGACAUCGAAAGCUUGCUUUUGGUGGGCGUCGACCGGCGCACGGGUGAGUAACGCGUAUCCAACCUGCCCACCACUUGGGGAUAACCUUGCGAAAGUAAGACUAAUACCCAAUGAUAUCCCACGAAGGCAUCCGAAUGGGAUUAAAGAUUUAUCGGUGAUGGAUGGGGAUGCGUCUGAUUAGCUUGUUGGCGGGGUAACGGCCCACCAAGGCUACGAUCAGUAGGGGUUCUGAGAGGAAGGUCCCCCACACUGGUACUGAGACACGGACCAGACUCCUACGGGAGGCAGCAGUGAGGAAUAUUGGUCAAUGGGCGCAGGCCUGAACCAGCCAAGUCGCGUGAAGGAAGACGGAUCUAUGGUUUGUAAACUUCUUUAGUGCGGGAACAAAGCGGUGUCGUGACGCCGGAUGAGUGUACCGCAAGAAUAAGCAUCGGCUAACUCCGUG
rnacentral:rRNA from 1 species